AACGCCCUUCCCCCCCUUCUUCA
rnacentral:miRNA from 1 species